rnacentral:rRNA from 1 species
CCUACGGGAGGCAGCAGUGAGGAAUAUUGGUCAAUGGGCGUAAGCCUGAACCAGCCAAGUCGCGUGAGGGAUGAAGGUUCUAUGGAUCGUAAACCUCUUUUAUAAGGGAGUAAAGUGUGGGACGUGUCCUAUUUUGUAUGUACCUUAUGAAUAAGGAUCGGCUAACUCCGUGCCAGCAGCCGCGGUAAUACGGAGGAUCCGAGCGUUAUCCGGAUUUAUUGGGUUUAAAGGGUGCGUAGGCGGACUUUUAAGUCAGCGGUGAAAGUCUGUGGUUCAACCAUAGAAUUGCCGUUGAAACUGGGGGGCUUGAGUAUGUUUGAGGCAGGCGGAAUGCGUGGUGUAGCGGUGAAAUGCUUAGAUAUCACGCAGAACCCCGAUUGCGAAGGCAGCCUGCCAGGCCAUAACUGACGCUGAUGCACGAAAGCGUGGGGAUCAAACAGGAUUAGAUACCCUUGUAGUC